rnacentral:lncRNA from 1 species
GGCUGGGGACCUACCGCCAGCACUUAUUAGGGGGACUCCAGGUAGCUGCCAAAAAGCUCACUAAUUUGAGUAAGUCUCUUCAAGCCUUACAGAUUCUUCAGAGUGAGAUCCAGGCUACAAGACAACAGGCUCGAGAAAAAGCCUCUGCGACAUUCCAGCCCCAUGGUUUCAAGUCAGGAGACCUGGUCCUGAUAUGCUUGGUCUGCUUGCACCGAGGACUUGACUAUUUAAAUACAUUCCCAAAUCAAUCUUGGCUACCCAAUCUGCCACUUUAUUUUGUGUCAUGGUGUAUGUUUUCCACAAGUCUUGUAUUAUAAUAAAAAAGGAGGCCGCGAACAUCUGGGAUUAACCACUGAACACUAUAGGAGUAAAUGGGCUGCCCCCGUUUUAGUGCCCAUUCUGGUGGGAUUAGGAAUAGCCAGGUCAGCGGCUAUUGGAACUUCCUCCCUGAUCCUUCAGGACAAAUUUUAAAGCCCUAAGCCACCA